AUGAUGCUGAUCUUUGGACUGAUGCUGCUGCUGCAAACUGCUGCAUGUGUGGAGUGGAACUGCAGUUUUAAUCAAUCAUAUCCCUGUUACGCAGCCCUGGGAGACAAACUCAAUCUGCUGAUGGUCCGGGAUGCCAGUGAAUAUGACCUGAAUUUAAAAAAGAGAAUAAACAACACACAAGAUGAUCAAGUUUGUAGAGUAAAAUAUGGCAACAAGAAGGAAUGUGAUCUUUAUAAUAACAGAACUGAAGUGACAGUCAUUAAUGGGACUGUGAUAAUAAACCGUGUGAUCAGAGCAGAUUCUGGAAAUUACAGAUUAACACUCACCGAACACUCAGGUGGCACAGAAACAUCUAGAGAUCUUCAAGUGAUUGUUGAAGCUCCAGUUGCCUCAGUGGAAGUGUCAAUCAGCUGCUCCUCCAAUCAGAGGUCAGUGUCCUGCUCCUCAGAGGGGGAUCAGCUCCUCUACAGCUGGACUCUGAAUGGAGAUCCACAGAAGGAUGGAAACAGCAGCAUUGAUCUGGAUGAGGGAACUGAUGGAAACAUCAGCUGCAGCGUGAAGAACCACGUCAGUCACGUACAGAAGACCAUUAGAAUCAAAACCUGUCCUGGUCCAGAUCGUUUUUGCAGUUUUUAUCAAUCAGAUUCCUGUUACGCAGCUGUGGGAGACGAUCUUAAUCUACUGAUGGUGCGGGAUGCUCGAGAUCAAGAGCUGCAUUUGUAUAAGGAGUUAAUGGAUAGCAGAGAACUGGAAGUUUUUAGAAUAAAGAACAAAAAAGAGAAAAAACAUGAAUCCAUCAGAAACAGAUCUGAGUUCAUCUUUGAUAAUGGGACUCUGAUAAUAAACCGUGUGAUCAGAGCAGAUUCAGGGAAUUACAGAUUAGAAUUCUAUCACUCAGACGGUUUAAGACCGUUUAAAAAGCUUCUUCGUAUUAAUAUUGAAGCUCCUACUGGCUCAGUGGAAAUGUCAAUCAGCUGCUCCUCCAAUCAGAGGUCAGUGUCCUGCUCCUCUGAGGGCGAUCAGAUCAUCUACAGCUGGACUUUGAAUGGAGAAAUACUAGAACAAGGACCAAUGGAUGGAAUCACCACCAUUCAGCUAAAUGAGGAAACUGAUGGAAACAUCAGCUGCAGUGUCAAGAACCACAUCAGUCACGCACAGAAGACAAUUAAAGUCAAACCCUGUCCUGGUCCGGAUCGGUUCUGCAGUUUUAAUCAAUCAGAUCCCUGUUACACAGCUCUGGGAGACAAACUCAAUCUGCUGAUGGUGCUGAACACUAGAGAAUAUGACCUGAAGAUACGUAAGAGGAUAUACAACACUCAAGAUGAUCCAGUUUGUAGAGUAAAAUAUGGCAGGAUGAAGGAAUGUGAUCUUAAUAAUAACAGACCUGAAGUGAACAUCAUUAAUGGGACUGUGAUAAUAAACCGUGUGAUCAGAGCAGAUUCUGGGAAUUACAGAUUAACACUCACUGACUCAAAAGGCACAGAAACAUCUAGAGAUCUUCAAGUGAUUGUUGAAGCUCCUAUUGGCUCAGUGGAAGUGUCAAUCAUCUGCUCCUCCAGUGGGGUGAUGAGGGUGUUCUGCUCCUCUGAGGGGGAUCAGCUCCUCUACAACUGGACUCUGAAAGGAGAUCCACUGAUGGAUGGAAACAGCAGCAUUGAUCUGGAUGAGAGAACUGAUGGAGACAUCAGCUGCAGCGUGAAGAACCACGUCAGUCACGCACAGAAGACCAUUAGACUAGUCUGUCCUACUGGACCAACUACUGCAGCUGUGACCUCUAGUUUGACCUCUACGUCGACACAGACAUCAGAAUAUGAUACGAGUUUCUCAUCAGCUGAUAUGAAUGUCACCUACACAACUGCAUUUUCUUCCAGGAUGUGUGAGUGCUGAGCUACAACAAAUAAUGUUAAUUACAAUGAAAUCUAAUAAUAAUGAUGGCAGCGGGGGAUCUAUAGGCUCUAUUAUUUUUUUCUGUUCCUUCUUUUCAAUGAAAAACAACAAUUGUCACUUAUUGUCCUUUUCUGAAGUUGGCGACCCUAGUGGCAACUUCAGAAAAGGAAAAUAAGUGACAAUCGUAGUUGCUAAAGUUGUUCUAUUCUUGUUGCUGUUGCAGUUGGUAUGAAUCAAUUUUUCAAAGCAGUUUUGGAGUUUGUUUUAAGUGACCUUGUGUUUUUUCUUUCAUAGUUUUAAAAUUCUCUCUGAUUGCUUUGGGCUGCGUUGCUCUGAUCCUGAUUCUGCUGUUCAUCACCGUAUGUUACGUUUACAAGAAGAAGCAGCUCAAGUCAACACAAGGUCAGUGUGUUUAAAUCUCUAGUUCAUAUACUAACUGAUGAAGGUUCAAAUGUAGUAUUAUUUUGUAGCUCAUGUGUUAUAUAUUCAGCAUAGAUUUGUUUGGUCAUUGCACUCUCUUACAGACAGUUUCAAAGACAAUUACACCAAAAGCCAAAGUAGAAACAUUAUAGAUGUGAUGAAGAU
ensembl:lncRNA